AGAGUUUGAUCCUGGCUCAGGAUGAACGCUGGCGGCGUGCCUAAUACAUGCAAGUCGAGCAAACAGAUAAGGAGCUUGCUCCUUUGACGUUAGCGGCGGACGGGUGAGUAACACGUGGGUAACCUACCUAUAAGACUGGAAUAACUCCGGGAAACCGGGGCUAAUGCCGGAUAACAUGUUGAACCGCAUGGUUCUACAGUGAAAGACGGUCUUGCUGUCACCUAUAGAUGGACCCGCGCCGUAUUAGCUAGUUGGUGGGGUAACGGCCUACCAAGGCGACGAUACGUAGCCGACCUGAGAGGGUGAUCGGCCACACUGGAACUGAGACACGGUCCAGACUCCUACGGGAGGCAGCAGUAGGGAAUCUUCCGCAAUGGGCGAAAGCCUGACGGAGCAACGCCGCGUGAGUGAUGAAGGUCUUCGGAUCGUAAAGCUCUGUUGUUAGGGAAGAACAAAUGUGUAAGUAACUGUGCACAUCUUGACGGUACCUAACCAGAAAGCCACGGCUAACUACGUGCCAGCAGCCGCGGUAAUACGUAGGUGGCAAGCGUUAUCCGGAAUUAUUGGGCGUAAAGCGCGCGUAGGCGGUUUUUUAAGUCUGAUGUGAAAGCCCACGGCUCAACCGUGGAGGGUCAUUGGAAACUGGGAAAACUUGAGUGCAGAAGAGGAAAGUGGAAUUCCAUGUGUAGCGGUGAAAUGCGCAGAGAUAUGGAGGAACACCAGUGGCGAAGGCGGCCUUCUGGUCUGCAACUGACGCUGAUGUGCGAAAGCGUGGGGAUCAAACAGGAUUAGAUACCCUAGUAGUCC
rnacentral:rRNA from 1 species